UGGUUCUGGCAUCGAUGAAGAACGCAGCGAAAUGCGAUAAGUAAUGUGAAUUGCAGAAUUCAGUGAAUCAUCGAAUCUUUGAACGCACAUUGCGCCCUCUGGUAUUCCGGAGGGCAUGCCUGUUCGAGCGUCAUUUCAACCCUCAAGCCUGGCUUGGUGAUGGGGCACUGCCUUUGUCAAGGGGGCAGGCCCUGAAAUCUAGUGGCGAGCCCGCCGGGACCCCGAGCGUAGUAGUUUACACCUCGCUCCGGGAGGCCCUGGCGGCGCCCUGCCGUUAAACCCCCAACUUCUGAAAAUUUGACCUCGGAUCAGGUAGGAAUACCCGCUGA
rnacentral:misc_RNA from 1 species